GGCAAGAUGGCCGCUUGUAUAGAGACAACAGUGAGAAUUUUUUUUGUCCAGAAAUAACCGUUCAUAUUGAAGUGUAUCUUUUGUGGUGGAGCAGGACCUGCAAGGCAAGGAUCUGAAAUGUCUGCAGACUGUUGUGAGCAGUGAGGAUGGGAAGCUCACAGCAGCAUACUGGAAAUGGUCCAGUGCCAUGGAUGAGACGCUCCAUCACUCCACCUCUUACUGCCUCAUCUGGGCCAGAUGUUGC